rnacentral:ncRNA from 1 species
UAAUAAAUAUAAAUAUAUAUUAUAUAUGUUAAAAAAAAAGUAUAUAAUAAUAAAAAAAGAAAAAGAAUUUAAUAAAGAAAAGAGUAUGAUGUCGGCUCAGAUUAAGCGUUAUCUAAGGACAUAAUACAUGCGAAUAAGACUCAAUUAAUGUAUAAAAUAUGUUAAUAAAGUUGUGUAAAGGUGAGUAAAAUAUUAAAAUGUGAACUAUUGUGAUAUAUGAAAUAUAUAUGAAAGGUGUCUUCCUUUGGGGGGGCAUAAAUAAAGAAGAGAUUUGAUGAUAGUCCAGUUAAUAUGUGGAAUAGGUAGUAGGAUAAAAUAGAGAGAUUAACCUAGCCAUAGAUCCAUAGUCAAUAAUGAAAGUUAUAAUGACCACAUUGAUCUUGAAUAAGGUCAAUAUAAAAGAUGUAAUUUAGAAAUAAAUUGCAUAUAAUACAGCAGUAAGGAAUAUUAGACAAUGAUCGAAAGAUUGAUCUAGUUACUUAGAAAGAUGAAGAUUAUAAAAAAAAAGUAAAAAGAAAAUAAUAAUGAAGAAUAUAAAAUCAAUAUAUAUAUAGAAGAAAAAAGAUGAGAAUAUAUAUAGAAGUCUUAACCAAAAUUAGUGCCAGCAGUUGCGGCUAAACUAAGGAGGCGAACGUUAAUCAUUAAUGGCUUAAAGGAUCCGUAGAAUGAUAUAUUAAAAAAUAUAUUAGAGUUAAAUAGAAUAAUUAUGAAAAAUUAUAUUGAGAGAUGAAAUGUGUGGAAAAUAAUUAGACAAAUAAACGUGAAGAUAAAAUUAAAAAUUUAACUGACAUUGAGGGAUGAAGGCAUGAGUAGCAAAACGGAUUAGAUACCCGAGUAGUUCAUGCAGUAAACGAUGAAUACUUAUUGAAAAAUAAAAGCGAAAGCAAAAGUAUUCCGCCAGGAGAGUAUAGCUUCAAAGUUGAAAUCCAAGACAAUAGACGGUUACAGUUGUAGGCAGUGGAUUGUGUUUUUUAAUUCGAUAAUCCCCGAAAAUCUUACCAUUAUUUGAAUCUCAUAUAAAAAAAUAUAUGAUGACAAAUGUUACAUCGUUGUUUAAAGUCUGUGCUUUAAGGUUAUGAUUAACUUCAUAAACAGACGAAAAUCCGAAUCUAUAAAAAAGAAUAUAGAUAAUAAUGAAUUUAAUUAAAAAAAUACAUAAUAAAAGGAACUACAACAAAUCCUGAUGACUUUAAUAUAGUGGGCUAAAGACGCAAUACAAAAUUGAUAAAGAAAAAGAAAAGAUAUAAAAAAAAUAAAUAAAGAAAAGAAAAUGGAAUAUCAAAUAUACUUAUAGAGGUGUAUAUAAUGUGGAUUAAUCUCUGAAAUUCGAGAUUAUGAAAAAGGAAUUGCUAGUAAUCAUAAUUCAUUAAGUUAUGGUGAACUUCCUUUCUGUUUCGUACUAAUUACUCAUCAUUCGCUUGAAGUUUAUCUAAAUAUUAAAAAUAUAAUAUAUAUAAUAUUUAAUCUAUAAAAUUGGAAAUAUUAUAAGGUAUCAUAUACUCAGUUAGAAAAUGACUAGUGAGAAGUUGAAAUACAGUUAUCGUUGAGGAAUCAGCGGUGGGUGGUAAAAAUUAACUAAAAUUAUCAUAUUAUUCAUAAUAAAUAUAUAUAAAUAUAUAUAUAUAUAAAAAUAAAAAUAAAAAUAA